rnacentral:rRNA from 1 species
GAUGAACGCUAGCGGCAGGCUUAAUACAUGCAAGUCGAGGGGCAGCACGGGUAGCAAUACUGGGUGGCGACCGGCAAACGGGUGCGGAACACGUACACAACCUUCCUUUUGGUGGGGGAUAGCCUUUGGAAACGGAGAUUAAUACCCCAUAAUACAGGGGGCCCGCAUGGGUCUAUUGUUAAAGAUUUAUUGCCAGAAGAUGGGUGUGCGUCUGAUUAGGUAGUUGGCGGGGUAAAGGCCCACCAAGCCGACGAUCAGUAACUGGUGUGAGGGCACGACCAGUCACACGGGAAAUGAGACACGGGCCCGAAUACUACGGGAGGCAGCAGUAAGGAAUAUUGGUCAAUGGGCGGAAGCCUGAACCAGCCAUGCCGCGUGGAGGAUGAAGGUCCUCUGGAUUGUAAACUUCUUUUAUCAGGGGCGAAAAAAGGCUUUUCUAAGUCGUCUGACGGUACCUGAUGAAUAAGCACCGGCUAACUCCGUGCCAGCAGCCGCCGUAACAC